AUGAUAGCAACAGUACAACUAGAUGCCAAAAAAAUUGUUUCGAAUCGGUUUCUAGACAAAAGAACAGGCCUAAUCCUCAUCAAUGACUUGAUAAAAAAUAUUGUUGAUAGUCAGUCAUAUGAUGAUGAUUUUGUGAGAAGGGCCAUACUGGUUCUUAUGGCUACAGUCUUAGCGCCACAAUCCACCAAGUUUGUUCCUUAUCGUUAUUACAAAAUGGUGGAGGGCGUGAACGUUAUCAAGUCAUACAAUUGGAACGAUUUCACGUUGGGGGUGUGCAUGGAUGCUAUUAAAAAACGGUCGAAGAUCUUGAAAAAUUCAAGUGGCCUAUCAGGAACUUGGCUCUUCUUCAAUAUAUAUACUGGGAAAAAGUUGAGCCAAUUGGUGUGGAUACAUUUGAUCCUUUGUCUCGUGAAUACCCACUAA
rnacentral:rRNA from 1 species